rnacentral:rRNA from 1 species
UACCCGCAGCACAAGUGGUGGUCAUUAUUAUUGGGCCUAAAGCGUCCGUAGCUGGCUUGUUAGAUGCCUGGGUAAAUCGAUGCGCUCAACGUAUCGAAUUCCGGGUAGACCGGCAGGCUCGAGACCGGGAGAGGUGUAGGCUACUCGAGGGGUAGGGGUAAAAUCCUGUAAUCCUUCGGGGAGGACCAGUGGCGAAGGCGCUACACUAGAACGGCUCUGACAGUGAGGGACGAAGCCCUGGGGCGCAAACCGG